rnacentral:rRNA from 1 species
GACGAACGCUGGCGGCGUGCUUAACACAUGCAAGUCGAACGAAGUGGCGAACGGGUGAGUAACGCGUAAUCAACCUUCCCUUCCGAGGGGGACAACAGUUGGAAACGACUGCUAAUACCGCAUACUGAAGGAGGGGAUGGCGUCGGAUUAGCUAGGUGGAGGGGUAACGGCAGACCAAGGCGAUGAUCAGUAGCAGGUCGGAGAGGAUGAGCGGCCACAUUGGGACUGAGACACGGCCCAGACUCCUACGGGAGGCAGCCGUGGGGAAUCUUCAGCAAUGGACGAAAGUCUGACCGAGCAACGCCGCGGGAGUGAGGACGGCCUUCGGGUGGUAAAGCUCUGUUAAUCGGGACGCGGUACCGGAAUAGAAAGCCACGGCUAACUACGUGCCAGCAGCCGCGGUAAUUC